rnacentral:rRNA from 1 species
AUUGAACGCUAGCGGCAGGCCUAACACAUGCAAGUCGAGCGGAUGAGAAGAGCUUGCUCUUCGAUUCAGCGGCGGACGGGUGAGUAAUGCCUAGGAAUCUGCCUGGUAGUGGGGGACAAGGUUUCGAAAGGAAGGCUAAUACCGCAUACGUCCUACGGGAGAAGGCAGGGGACUUUCGGGCCUUGCGCUUUCAGAUGAGCCGAGUUCGGAUCAGCUAGUUGGUGAGGUAAUGGCUCACCAAGGCGACGAUCCGUAACUGGUCUGAGAGGAAGAUCAGUCACACUGGAACUGAGACACGGUCCAGACUCCUACGGGAGGCAGCAGUGGGGAAUAUUGGACAAUGGGCGAAAGCCUGAUCCAGCCAUGCCGCGUGUGUGAAGAAGGUCUUCGGAUUGUAAAGCACUUUAAGUUGGGAGGAAGGGCAGUAAGUUAAUACCUUGCUGUUUUGACGUUACCGACAGAAUAAGCACCGGCUAACUCUGUGCCAGCCGCCGCGGUAAUAC